UAAUAUGUCUAUGCCAGAUUCUCUUCUAGUAAUGCCAAAUUGUCACAUUGAAUAUUCACAACCGCUCGUGUCUAUAAACCCAACUAUAUCAUAUUAUCACUUGAUUUUUUUUUAUACGUUGA
rnacentral:pre_miRNA from 1 species